rnacentral:lncRNA from 1 species
AGGUUUUCUUUUCAUGUUUCUUUUUUAUUUUGGCAACCUUUUGAUGUUUCUUUUUCUUUUUAGGUUUCAGUCCUACCCUAUAUAUAUUUUUUACAACUAUUAAUUUCAUUUUUUUCCCACAGCAUGAUAGAUAUGCAUGAAUCUCUCAUUUAUUUUUCUUUAGUUUCUUUCAGCUUUUCGAAUAUAUUUUGGUGUCACGUUUCUCCUAUUUUGUUUUGUCAUUUCGUGUAGGGGUCUUGACUCUUCUGGCAUGAUCGCAUGCACACGAAUACGGAGUUAUAUAUGAUCAUUUUGUAUAAU